rnacentral:rRNA from 1 species
GAUGAACGCUGGCGGCGUGCCUAAUACAUGCCAGUCGAGCGAACAGACGAGGAGCUUGCUCCUCUGACGUUAGCGGCGGACGGGUGAGUAACACGUGGAUAACCUACCUAUAAGACUGGGAUAACUUCGGGAAACCGGAGCUAAUACCGGAUAAUAUAUUGAACCGCAUGGUUCAAUAGUGAAAGACGGUUUUGCUGUCACUUAUAGAUGGAUCCGCGCCGCAUUAGCUAGUUGGUAAGGUAACGGCUUACCAAGGCGACGAUGCGUAGCCGACCUGAGAGGGUGAUCGGCCACACUGGAACUGAGACACGGUCCAGACUCCUACGGGAGGCAGCAGUAGGGAAUCUUCCGCAAUGGGCGAAAGCCUGGCGGAGCAACGCCGCGUGAGUGAUGAAGGUCUUCGGAUCGUAAAACUCUGUUAUUAGGGAAGAACAAAUGUGUAAGUAACUAUGCACGUCUUGACGGUACCUAAUCAGAAAGCCACGGCUAACUACGUG